rnacentral:rRNA from 1 species
UACGUAGGGAGCGAGCGUUGUCCGGAAUUACUGGGUGUAAAGGGAGCGUAGGCGGGACUGCAAGUUGGGUGUCAAAUCUACCGGCUCAACCGGUAGCCGCACUCAAAACUGCAGUUCUUGAGUGAAGUAGAGGCAGGCGGAAUUCCUAGUGUAGCGGUGAAAUGCGUAGAUAUAUGGAGGAACACCGGUGGCGAAAGCGGCUCUCUGGCCUGUAACUGACACUGAGGCUCGAAAGCGUGGGGAGCAAACAGG